UCUGGAGACUGCAGAGGGCAUCUGCUUCUUGCCUGGUAUUUGGAUGCCCUCUGCCACCUAGAGA
rnacentral:miRNA from 14 species